CUAUGUAGUGGUAUUGCAUCAUAGGCAUAUUAAGCAGGGUCCGUUACACACUUGAUUGAGCGAGUGACACAUGCACCUUGGUUAUUACAGCAUUGAUAAAGAGUACUGAUAUCAUCUCCACAAAAAGAAGGGGGAAAACAGUAAUCAUGGAUGGAGUGGCGGAUCGUCAUCUCAAGCUCAAUGCAUCCACUGUUCCAGAGGACGGGACAGUCUUCGUCGUCGUCGCCGCCGUCUGUAACCACUGUAUUUUUGGAGCCUCACCUCACAAUUUGAGUGCAAAAUUCAGAAACAAAGAGAGGAAGUGGAUCGAGAGGACGGGUAGGAAGAAAAGCAUACCUGGCAGCAGCGGAUCCCACACCAGUGCUCCUCCAGGAUCCACCUGACACUGCUUCCCUGGCCCUGCUACAAGGAGGCAACAAAAUCAAGAAGUUCAGUGUUCCUAUGGAACCUAUAAUAGAUCAUAUCAGUAUGAUCGUGAGCAUCUAUAUGCAAGAGAGAGAACAUAAAUUGGUUCAUCAUGACCCACUUGCUGACCCAUUGCUAGAAAGCCAAGUGAAAUGACUUCAUUACAUGUGAUGAGCACAGUGAGAGAUCUAGCUCUGCACUAAUAAACUAUAGAAGUGUUGGAAAGCUAAACAAAAUCCCAAAACGAUCCUCAUUAUUAAGCAUGGAUGAUUAGGGCUAAGUAACUUUCCGUUCAAUAGGGCAUGAUACAAAAAGUAAUGUAAUUAACAUGAAGACUCGCUUCAAAAUCAUCGAGAUGCUUUGUAGCAUCAAUGGAGAUGUUUGCCAGUAUUGUAUUUGAAGCUUUCCUGAACCAGUUAAGUAUUCAACUCCCAGCUGAUCCUGGAUAAGAAGUUCAGGGAAGAAGAUACCAUCAUAAAUAUUUAGUAACUUGACUUGAAUAAAUCCUUUGUUUGUCAUUAAUUAAUCCAGUUAAUGCAUACAAUACACAGGUAGGUGAACUGUUGAUUGCUGAAAGAUGUAUUGCACAUAUCUCCAAAUCAGCACUAUAAAUAGUACUGUUAUUAAAUUAGCACAACUAAAAAUAUAUUAAAUAAUAUGCAUGAAAAUGCUCAUGGAUUAAUUUCUCUAGCUUCUAUUGUCGAGACAAUAGCUCUGCUCUCUUUAGUGGUGAAGUUUUUUCAUGAUACACGAGAUGAACACAUUGAAAUAAAGAAACUGAAUCGAGAUCUUAUUUGGUCUGGCAUCCAGGUAAAAGGUGAACGCCAUACACCAACAACCAUGAACAUAAAGGUAAAUAGAAGCAACGACAAUAAAAAAAUCAUGAUAUUACCUACUGCCCCAACAAUUUAUCCUCAUGUUGGAUCCAUAACAGGGAGGAGAGACGAGAUGCAAGUUGUACCUGAGGCGCGCAUGCGACCAAGGGCACGCACGAACGAAUUGAUAAGAACCCAAGGCUCACACGACGCCUCUGCUGCUCCUGCAGCACGCAUCCAUUUCAACAUCAUUCUUCACGAUGUCAAAGACGAGGAGGAGAGAGGCGGCUGCUUGGCCAACGACCAGC
rnacentral:lncRNA from 1 species